CCAAUCAAGAAUGAUUAAUUGUUCCCCUACAUCUUCAUGGGGCUCGACUCCAACUAUGAUUUGAUCGUGACAUCCCUCACGACUCGGGUUGAUAACCUCACAUUUGAUAAUGUGUAUGCACAUCUCAUGGCCUUUGAGA